rnacentral:rRNA from 1 species
UACGUAGGUGGCAAGCGUUGUUCGGAAUUACUGGGCGUAAAGCGCACGUAGGCGGCUUGGUAUGUCGGGUGUGAAAUCCCCGGGCUCAACCUGGGAACUGCAUCCGAAACUGCUUUGCUAGAGUAUGGGAGAGGGAAGUGGAAUUUCCGGUGUAGCGGUGAAAUGCGUAGAUAUCGGAAGGAACAUCAGUGGCGAAGGCGACUUCCUGGACCAAUACCGACGCUCAGGUGCGAAAGCGUGGGGAGCAAACAGG